GGCGGUGGUAGGCCGCCGACCCGAGCUCGCGCCUCCAGGCGCGGCACACGGAGCGGCCCGCGGGCAGGCGGUCGUACGGCACGCGGAUGAGGCACUCGCGCGCCACCUCCUGCGGGAGCCCCGGUAUCAGAGAGGAAGCGGUUGAAACUGGAAACGGGAGGGAGGAGGAACAUUGGAACAACGACGACGGAUGCUGCGGGAGCCCGCAGAGAGGAGGGGGGGUUAUUAUAACUUAAUAUGUGCGCCCGCCCGCCCCGCGUGUCAGGCUCUGAGCGGUAAUUGGCUAAAGCGUCACGGCGAAGAGAUCCGAGUCCACAGAAAAGGAGACCUGGUGGGCCGCGGCCGGUUAUGUUCAACAAUAUCUUCUAUUUUUGUAUUUAUUUAUUUUUUUGUCGCGUAACUGCACUCGGGCAUCUCCUGUCAGAAAAUAAUAACCAUAUAAGUAAAUAAAUUAAAUUAAAAAAAAAAAAAAGGGACAAGGAUUGAAGAGAACGUACGCUAUGGUCGAUUGGAGAAAGGCGAUGACGAUAUGUGGUGAGGGCGGAGCGGAGCGGAGGGACAGCAUGGCGGAUUGGGGGUGGGGCCCAGCUUGUAGGACAGCCACUCACCGGCUUACAGGUGGCAUCUAAUAAGCGGGCGCGCGGGAACCCGUUUCAUCCCGCGGAUUCUCUGGAGCUCCGUCGUCGCGGAUUGACCGCGUUUAAGUCGGCGCCCCUAUACUGCGGUGGCAUAAACAAUUUCUGGAUCCGAAUACAGUGCGAGGAUAUUGUUAUCCGGAGACAAAAGCGACGGUAAUAAUAAUAAUAAGUAAUUUAUUAGGGAUGAAACAGAUGAAUGAUGAGUCGGAUACUGCUCUGGAUAUAUAUUGGCCGGAUGCUAAAAUUCAAUCCACGUUUCAGAAAAAGACAAAUAUUUCAAUGUAAAUCCGAUAUUAGUUCAUUCCAUCCAUCAUUCUAUGUCUCCGUGCUUUGACAAUUUUGAAGCAGUGUGUGAUGUGUGGCUCGCAAAUGGGAGAGCUUAGGAUUGCGGAAUCCAGGAAAACUGAGAGUGGGUAGGGAUGUGGAAGGGAUGGUCGGGUGAGUCAGCACGAGAGGGCAAAUCUGAGCGUCUAUGCCGUGAGGAGUUCCUGCUGAGGACACGAAACAGCGAAAGCUACUUUUCAAACGACUGUUAUCAGUUGGGAAUCUUAUCUUCGUGGUGGGGACUAUAAUGUGGCCGUAUCCUUAUCCUGCAUGGAAUUAUAAAUUGAUUCUAGAUGCGAGAGUUUAUGCGCAAAUAGAAGUCGAUAUGCCCAUAUCAAUCUUAUCCGAUCGCAAUAGUUACAGGAAGGAAGAUUUUUUUCUUUUUCCUUUUUUUUUUUUUUUUCAUUUUUACUCUAAUGGAUGGUCUUAGAGUUUAGAAACUUAGGAAAAAAAAAAACUUCAAAUACCACUACGUGGUUCAGUACUUUUUUAUUUUAAAACCAUAUUAUUUACCGUGUAUCUCUUUAA